AUUGAACGCUGGCGGCAUGCCUUACACAUGCAAGUCGAACGGUAACAGGUCUUCGGAUGCUGACGAGUGGCGAACGGGUGAGUAAUACAUCGGAACGUGCCUAGUAGUGGGGGAUAACUACUCGAAAGAGUGGCUAAUACCGCAUGAGAUCUACGGAUGAAAGCAGGGGAUCGCAAGACCUUGUGCUACUAGAGCGGCCGAUGGCAGAUUAGGUAGUUGGUGGGAUAAAAGCUUACCAAGCCGAUGAUCUGUAGCUGGUCUGAGAGGACGAUAAGCCGACCUGGGACUGAGACACGGCCCAGACUCCUACGGGAGGCAGCAGUGGGGAAUUGUGGACAAUGGGCGCAAGCCUGAUCCAGCAAUGCCGCGUGCAGGAUGAAGGCCUUCGGGUUGUAAACUGCUUUUGUACGGAACGAAAAGCCCCGGGUUAAUACCCUGGAGUCAUGACGGUACCGUAAGAAUAAGCACCGGCUAACUACGUGCCAGCCGCCGCCGUAA
rnacentral:rRNA from 1 species